ACUACGGGAGGCAGCAGUGAGGAAUAUUGGUCAAUGGGCGCGAGCCUGAACCAGCCAAGUAGCGUGAAGGAUGACUGCCCUACGGGUUGUAAACUUCUUUUAUACAGGAAUAAAGUGAGGCACGUGUGCCUUAUUGUAUGUACUUUAUGAAUAAGGAUCGGCUAACUCCGUGCCAGCAGCCGCGGUAAUACGGAGGAUCCGGUGGUUAUCCGGAUUUAUUGGGGUUAAAGGGGGCGUAGAUGGGUUGUUAAGUCAGUUGUGAAAGUUUGCGGCUCAACCGUAAAAUUGCAAUUGAAACUGGCAGCCUUGAGUACAGUUGAGGUAGGCGGAAUUCGUGGUGUAGCGGUGAAAUGCUUAGAUAUCACGAAGAACUCCGAUUGCGAAGGCAGCUUACUAAACUGCCACUGACAUUGAUGCUCGAAAGUGUGGGUAUCAAACAGGAUUAGAUACCCCGGUAGUC
rnacentral:rRNA from 1 species